GCGGUAAUACGUAGGGUGCAAGCGUUAAUCGGAAUUACUGGGCGUAAAGCGUGCGCAGGCGGUUUUGUAAGUCUGUCGUGAAAGCCCCGGGCUCAACCUGGGAAUUGCGAUGGAGACUGCAAGGCUUGAAUCUGGCAGAGGGGGGUAGAAUUCCACGUGUAGCAGUGAAAUGCGUAGAGAUGUGGAGGAACACCGAUGGCGAAGGCAGCCCCCUGGGUCAAGAUUGACGCUCAUGCACGAAAGCGUGGGGAGCAAACAGGAUUAGAUACCCUGGUAGUCCACGCCCUAAACGAUGUCUACUASUUGUCGGGUUUUAAUUAACUUGGUAACGCAGCUAACGCGUGAAGUAGACCGCCUGGGGAGUACGGUCGCAAGAUUAAAACUCAAAGGAAUUGACGGUGGACCCGUUCACAAGCGGUGGAUGAUGUGG
rnacentral:rRNA from 1 species